UGGUAGAAUCAGAUUUGUGUGGU
rnacentral:piRNA from 1 species